rnacentral:lncRNA from 1 species
CCAAUCCACCACCAACAAUGGCAGCCACCUUAUCCCUCCUCUCCCCCGCCUCCACCGCCUCCCUCCGCCGCCAAAUUCCGACGUCCAGUCGCAUCCACCUCCGCACCGCCCCAUCCAAGUUCUCUAUCAAGGCCUUCUCCGCCCCAGUCCUCACACAGGACGACCUAAAAAAACUCGCCGCCGACAAGGCCGUCGAGUAUGUCAAAAGCGGCAUGGUCCUCGGACUCGGAACCGGAUCCACCGCCGCCUUCGUCGUCGAUAAGAUCGGCGCACUCCUCAAAUCCGGCGAACUCACUGAUAUCGUCGGAGUGCCCACAUCCAAGCGCACCCAGGAGCAGGCCUUCGCACUAGGUAUCCCGCUAUCCACCCUCGACGCACACCCUCACCUCGACCUCGCAAUCGACGGCGCCGAUGAGGUGGACCCCAAUCUCGACCUGGUGAAGGGCCGCG